UCGCUCACACUUGCCUCUAUUUCAUCUUAUUCUAAAAAAUUACUAAUUAUGUACCUCUAUGUACUAAACUAUGAAAUUAUUCUUCUAACCUCAUAACAAUUUCUUUGACUAAUACAAAAACAUAGCAUCCAAAAAAUUGUAGCUUACUCUAAAAAUCAUAAAUAUUAGCUCUAAAUAACACAUGCAUAUAAAUAAAAAAAUUCUCCAUUGUACCUUAUUCUAAAAAUCACAAAUUACUCUAGCUCUAAAGCAUAAAACUUAGUAUACUAAACAUGUAUCAAGGGAGGAUGAAAUUUCUAACCUUUAGAACACUUGAAUGAGUGAAAAUCCCACAAAAUGUUCUUCAAUCCGGCAGCACCUCCCCUAUAGUGCCAUGGAUAGGAUGAAGUUCGAGCUGUUGUGAAUGGCUCGGGCAAGAGGAAGAAGGAGGCGGAUUUAUAGGAGGAAAUUUAGUACCAGUUGGGGGGCCCCAACCGGUACUAAUGUGUACCUUUUAGUACCGGUUGGGGCCCCCCAACUGGUACUAAAUUUCCUCCUAUAAAUCCGCCUCCUUCUUCCUCUUGCCCGAGCCAUUCACAACAGCUCGAACUUCAUCCUAUCCAUGGCACUAUAGGGGAGGUGCUGCCGGAUUGAAGAACAUUUUGUGGGAUUUUCACUCAUUCAAGUGUUCUAAAGGUUACACCAAUGUUGAAGAAUUUCUUGAUGAAGAGGGAAUCAAGCAUGAGUUCUCCGCUCCAUACACACCUCAACAAAUGGCAUUGUGGAGAGGAAGAAUCAAACAUUGAUUAAAGCCGCAUGAACCAUGCUUGAUGAGUACNNNNNNNNNNNNNNNNNNNNNNNNNNNNNNNNNNNNNNNNNNNNNNNNNNNNNNNNNNNNNNNNNNNNNNNNNNNNNNNNNNNNNNNNNNNNNNNNNNNNGGGCCUGUAAUUUCGGCGACGGAGCACAUAAAACAAUUUUCAGCCACGGUGGCAUCUUCUUCGUUGAAGGUCAUCCUCUGUAAGGGCUAGGGAUAUCCUACUGGGUGUGUGGUGGGACCUAGAGUGGUUAAUUUUUCGUUGGAGUGCUUUUUAAGGAAAGAAUGGGAUUGACGAUGUUUUCUCACCAUUAGAUGUGGGGUCCCAGUUCUCAUCCACUCAAAUAUGAUGGCCCAACCACUACUGGGGAAAGAACCUUUCGUACAGCACAUUAGUGCCCGGUGCAAUUGGGUCCGCUCAGGGCCGCUCCGGAACCCCUUUAGUACCCGUUGGGGGCCCCCACCCGGUCUUAAUGGGACACAUUAGGAUCCGGUGGGUCCCCCCACCCGGUACUAAUGGCCCGGUGGCACAUUGAUACCAGGUGGGGGGCACCAACCGAUACUAAUGUGUACCCUUUAGUACCGGUUGGUGCCCCCAACCGGUACUAAAGGGGUCACAGAGCGGCCCUGAGCGGACCCAAUUGCAACCGGCACUAAUGUGCUGGACGAAAGGUUCUUUCCCCAGUAGUGGUUGGGCCCUCAUAUUUGAGUGGAUGAGAACUGGGACCCACAUCUAAUGGUGAGAAAACAUCGUCCAUCCCAUUCCUUCCUAAAAAGCACUCCAACCAAACAAUAAACCCUCUAGGCUCCAACCAAACAACCAGUAGGAUAUCCCUAGCCUAUACAGAGGGAUGACCCUCCAACGAGAAGAUGCCACGUAGGCUGAAAAUUGUAUAAUGUGGCUACGUAGGCUGAAAAUACCAGCACAGGAGAUCCGAAAGAGAAGACACGACACCCCGAGACUCCAGUCACACCCACGCGGGGCUCCGGUACCGAAAUCAAAAGGAGAAGAUGCCUUUUGACCUAUGCCCUCACGGCUCCACCGUUUAUCCUUACCGCAGCGCCACUUGCAUCCGCCGCCGCUCAACAAGAGGUAUCAUCCAAACGGUGCUUGGUCUUGGGUUUGGAUCUCGAGUUCAAACACGCCACUCGUGCUAAUUGCCCUGCUGCCGCCGCCGCGCCGCAUAUGUCCAUUCCGUCCUAAAUUUCCAGCGAGAAACUGGCAGAGAGUGAGAAGCAGCGAAGACAAAACGGAAGAUGCCACUGGAGCAAUCCGCUAGCAGCAUGGGCUCUCAAGAAGAGCAAGAAGGUACGGACGAGCACAUCAGGGACCAGCGUCACAUGCCAAGAUCGGGAUGACCGUCUAGUCAAACACGUAUCAUGCACAUUCGUCUUGUUGCACUACAAAAAAGUGAUUACUAUUUUGUUUAGAUUAAUCAUCAAGAAUUAUUCUUCGCGAAGACCUACUAGUCACUAGAGAGAGAGAGAGACUCCUCAAUUUUGGACGUUGGAACAUGAACUGCGGUAGGUUCAGUCAGUCGUACCCGUUCGCACUAGCGGAGUGUAAACUGUAAAGUCUUGUUUAGUUGUCCAACUUUAGGUAACUAAAAUUACUGU
rnacentral:lncRNA from 1 species